rnacentral:rRNA from 1 species
UACAGAGGUCUCAAGCGUUGUUCGGAUUCAUUGGGCGUAAAGGGGUGCGUAGGUGGCGCCGUAAGUCAGGUGUGAAAUCUCGGGGCUCAACCCCGAAACUGCACUUGAUACUGCGGUGCUCGAGUACUGGAGAGGAGAUUGGAAUUUACGGUGUAGCAGUGAAAUGCGUAGAUAUCGUAAGGAAGACCAGUGGCGAAGGCGAAUCUCUGGACAGUUACUGACACUGAGGCAGCGAAGGCCAGGGGAGCAAAACGGG